rnacentral:rRNA from 1 species
CAGGAUUAGAUACCCUGGUAGUCCACGCCGUAAACGAUGAGUGCUAAGUGUUAGAGGGUUUCCGCCCUUUAGUGCUGCAGCAAACGCAUUAAGCACUCCGCCUGGGGAGUACGGUCGCAAGACUGAAACUCAAAGGAAUUGACGGGGGCCCGCACAAGCGGUGGAGCAUGUGGUUUAAUUCGAAGCAACGCGAAGAACCUUACCAGGUCUUGACAUCCUCUGACAACCCUAGAGAUAGGGCUUCCCCUUCGGGGGCAGAGUGACAGGUGGUGCAUGGUUGUCGUCAGCUCGUGUCGUGAGAUGUUGGGUUAAGUCCCGCAACGAGCGCAACCCUUGAUCUUAGUUGCCAGCAUUCAGUUGGGCACUCUAAGGUGACUGCCGGUGACAAACCGGAGGAAGGUGGGGAUGACGUCAAAUCAUCAUGCCCCUUAUGACCUGGGCUACACACGUGCUACAAUGGGCAGAACAAAGGGCAGCGAAGCCGCGAGGCUAAGCCAAUCCCACAAAUCUGUUCUCAGUUCGGAUCGCAGUCUGCAACUCGACUGCGUGAAGCUGGAAUCGCUAGUAAUCGCGGAUCAGCAUAAGCGCGGUGAAUACGUUCCCGGACCUUGUACA